rnacentral:tRNA from 1 species
GGUAAAAAUAGCUCAGUGGCAGAGCGUAGGUUUGUGGCGCUUAGGGUCAAGAGUUCAAGUCUCUUUUUUUACC